rnacentral:rRNA from 1 species
ACGAUAACGAACGAGACCUUAACCUGCUAAAUAGUCCGGCCGGCUUUUGCUGGUCGCUGACUUCUUAGAGGGACUAACAGCGUUUAGCUGUUGGAAGUUUGAGGCAAUAACAGGUCUGUGAUGCCCUUAGAUGUUCUGGGCCGCACGCGCGCUACACUGACUGAGCCAGCGAGUUUAUAACCUUGGCCGAAAGGUCUGGGUAAUCUUUUGAAACUUGAUCGUGCUGGGGAUAGUCCAUUGCAAUUAUUGGACUUCAACGAGGAAUUCCUAGUAAGCGUGAGUCAUCAGCUCGCGUUGAUUACGUCCCUGCCCUUUGUACACACCGCCCGUCGCUAGUACCGAUUGAAUGGGUA